rnacentral:rRNA from 4 species
UCAAGUUAUUAAGGGUGCAGGGCGGAUGCCUUGGCACUAGGAGCCGAUGAAGGACGUGAUAAGCUGCGAUAAGCUUCGGGGAGUUGCACGUAAACUUUGAUCCGAAGAUUUCCGAAUGAGGAAACUCACUUAGAGUAAUGUCUAAGUAUCAUUAAGUGAAUACAUAGCUUAAUGAGGGGAACUCAGGGAACUGAAACAUCUAAGUACCUGAAGGAAGAGAAAGAAAUUCGAUUCCGUAAGUAGCGGCGAGCGAACGCGGAUUAGCCCAAACCAAUAAAGUUUUCUUUAUUGGGGUUGCGGACAUAUCAUAACGAAGAGGUAUCGUAAUUGAAGAGGUUUGGAAAGACCCACCACAGAAGGUAAUAGUCCUGUAUGUUAAACGAGAAGACUUCAGAUAUGAUCCAGAGUACCACGGGACACGUGAAACCCUGUGGGAAGCAGGAGGGACCACCCUCCAAGGCUAAAUACUACCUAGUGACCGAUAGCGUAUAGUACCGUGAGGGAAAGGUGAAAAGAACCCCGGGAGGGGAGUGAAAUAGAACCUGAAACCCUGCACUUACAAGCUGUGGAAGCACAUUUCUUGUGUGACCGCGUACUUUUUGUAGAACGGGCCAACGAGUUACGUUAAGUAGCAAGGUUAAGCACUUAAGGUGCGGAGCCGUAGCGAAAGCGAGUUUUAACUGAGCGUUCAGUUACUUGACGUAGACCCGAAACCGGGCGACCUACCCAUGAGCAGGAUGAAGCGAAAGUAAAAUUUCGUGGAGGUCCGAACCCACGAGCGUUGAAAAGCUCGGGGAUGACUUGUGGGUAGCGGUGAAAUUCCAAUCGAGCCCGGAGAUAGCUGGUUCUCCCCGAAAUAGCUUUAGGGCUAGCCUCAAGGUGAGAGAUACGGAGGUAGAGCACUGAAUGUCCUAGGGGGUAUUGCACCUACCGAAGACUAUCAAACUCCGAAUGCCGUCAUCUUAUACUUGGGAGUCAGACUGUGGGUGAUAAGAUUCAUAGUCGAAAGGGCAACAGCCCAGAUCGUCAGCUAAGGUCCCUAAAUGUAAGUUAAGUGGUAAAGGAUGUGGGAUUGCACAGACAACCAGGAUGUUGGCUUAGAAGCAGCCACUCAUUCAAAGAGUGCGUAAUAGCUCACUGGUCGAGUGAUCCUGCGCCGAAGAUUUCCGGGGCUAAAACUUACUACCGAAGCUACGGCAUCAGUAAUGAUGGGUAGGGGAGCUUCCCAUACGGGUUGAAGCAUGACCGUAAGGACAUGUGGACAGUAUGGGAGUGAGAAUGUUGGCAUGAGUAGCGAGAUGUGGGUGAGAAUCCCACAGGCCGUAAACCCAAGGUUUCCAGGGGAAGGUUCGUCCGCCCUGGGUUAGUCGGGACCUAAGCUGAGGCCGAAAGGCGUAGGUGAUGGACAACAGGUUGAUAUUCCUGUACUACCGAUAACCGUUUGAGAGAAGGGAUGACACAGUAGGAUAAGCUAAGCACACUGUUGGUUAUGUGUGCCCAAGCAUUGAGGCAGUCAAAGUAGGCAAAUCCGCUUUGAUAAUGCUGGGAUGUGAUGGGGAGCGAAAUUUAGUAGCGAAGUAGCUGAUUUCACACUGUCAAGAAAAGUCUCUAUCGAGGUUAAAGGUACCCGUACCGCAAACCGACACAGGUGGGUGAGGAGAGUAUCCUAAGGCCAGCGAGAGAACUGUUGUUAAGGAACUCGGCAAAAUGACCCCGUAACUUAGGGAUAAGGGGUGCCACCAUCAGGUGGCCGCAGAGAAUAGGCCCAAGCGACUGUUUACCAAAAACAUAGGUUUCUGCUAAGUCGCAAGACGAUGUAUAGGAGCUGACGCCUGCCCGGUGCUGGAAGGUUAAGGGGAUCUGUUAGAGCAAUCGAAGCAGUGAACUUAAGCCCCAGUAAACGGCGGCCGUAACUAUAACGGUCCUAAGGUAGCGAAAUUCCUUGUCGGGUAAGUUCCGACCCGCACGAAAGGCGUAACGAUUUGGGCACUGUCUCAACAACAGACUCGGUGAAAUUGUAAUUCCGGUGAAGAUGCCGGAUACCUGCGACAGGACGGAAAGACCCCAUGGAGCUUUACUGUAGCUUGACAUUGGGUCUUGGUACUACAUGUACAGGAUAGGUGGGAGGCUUUGAAACCAGGACGCCAGUUUUGGCGGAGCCAUCCUUGGGAUACCACCCUUGUAGUACUGGGACUCUAACCAUAGGCCAUGAAUCUGGUCUUGGGACACUGUCAGGUGGGCAGUUUGACUGGGGCGGUCGCCUCCCAAAAGGUAACGGAGGCGCUCAAAGGUUCUCUCAGUACGGUCGGAAAUCGUACGUAGAGUGUAAAGGCAAAAGAGAGCUUGAUUGCAAGACAUACAGGUCGAGCAAGGAUGAAAAUCGGACUUAGUGAUCCGGUGGUUCUGCGUGGAAGGGCCAUCGCUCAACGGAUAAAAGCUACCCUGGGGAUAACAGGCUUAUCUCCCCCAAGAGUCCACAUCGACGGGGAGGUUUGGCACCUCGAUGUCGGCUCAUCACAUCCUGGGGCUGUAGUAGGUCCCAAGGGUUGGGCUGUUCGCCCAUUAAAGUGGUACGCGAGCUGGGUUCAGAACGUCGUGAGACAGUUCGGUCCCUAUCCGUCGCAGGCGUAGGAAAUUUGAGAAGACCUGUCCUUAGUACGAGAGGACCGGGAUGGACGUACCUCUGGUGUACCAGUUGUCCUGCCAAGGGCAUGGCUGGGUAGCUAUGUACGGAAUGGAUAAGCGCUGAAAGCAUCUAAGCGCGAAGCCAACUUCAAGAUAAGAUUUCCCACCGCAAGGGUAAGACUCCAGAAAGACUAUCUGGUUGAUAGGUCGAAGGUGUAAGUGCAGCAAUGUAUUUAGCUUAUCGAUACUAAUAGGUCGAGGACUUGACCAA